rnacentral:rRNA from 1 species
CGGUGAAUACGUUCCCGGGCCUUGUACACACCGCCCGUCACACCAUGGGAGUUGGUUCUACCCGAAGCCGGCGUUUCAUACCGCCGACCACGGUAGGGUCAGCGACUGGGGUG